UGUUGGCGAUGCCGAGGGGCAGAGGUCGGUGGCUCAGGGGCAUUGCGGUAGUUGUAGUUCCCCGAAAUUGAUCCCUGCGCGAAACGCAAUGUAGGGAUGCCAUGUGAUCUUCGUCUACCGGUGCCUGUUUUUGAAUCUGAUCGUAAAUCUGGCAAAAUUGGUCAAAUACUACCCAAGCGUUGCCUAGUAACAAGACAACAGACGGGCUCAUAAUCCAAGGAAAAUGGUUUGCGGAUGGAUGAGAAGUGCAACAGCAAGGAGCACCAGUACCAGCACCACAAAGGCUGACUGGAAGUUGGACCACACAGGACUACACUAGAGGGCACUACACCACAGCCGACUGCACCACAGCUGACUGCACCGCGGCCGACUGAAGUACGGUGGACUGCACGACAGCAGACUGCACGACACCAGACUGUACCACAGGCCACAGCAGUGCCAUGAGGGACUCAGAGUCGGAGUCGGAGGACGGCGGCCGUGCCUCGCGGCGGGCGCGCUCCGUGACUCCAGCCGUCCACCGUCACUUCAACCAGCCGUUGUCCGUCUCCAUGGCCGCGCUCAGCAUCUCAACAUCGGACCUGCG